GUGAGGAAUAUUGCUCAAUGGGGGAAACCCUGAAGCAGCAACGCCGCGUGGAGGAUGAAGGUUUUAGGAUUGUAAACUCCUUUUGUUAGAGAAGAUUAUGACGGUAUCUAACGAAUAAGCACCGGCUAACUCCGUGCCAGCAGCCGCGGUAAUACGGAGGGUGCAAGCGUUACUCGGAAUCACUGGGCGUAAAGAGUGCGUAGGCGGGGUAAUAAGUCAGAUGUGAAAUCCUGUAGCUUAACUACAGAACUGCAUUUGAAACUGUUACUCUGGAGUGUGGGAGAGGUAGGUGGAAUUCUUGGUGUAGGGGUAAAAUCCGUAGAGAUCAAGAGGAAUACUCAUUGCGAAGGCGACCUGCUGGAACAUUACUGACGCUGAUGCACGAAAGCGUGGGGAGCAAACAGG
rnacentral:rRNA from 1 species